rnacentral:ncRNA from 2 species
CUCUUAUCCGGAGUGGUGGAGGGACUAGCCCUAUGAAGCCCGGCAACCAGCUUUUAAACUACGACAUGUCCAUGGUGUGGACGAAGCAUGGUGCUAAUUCUUGCAGGAGAGAUUUUCCUGGCAGAUAAGAG